rnacentral:rRNA from 2 species
ACAUUAGAGUUACCAAAGUGCGACGUAGUCGCAACAGUUGGGAAGCUGUGCCAUAGAGGGUGAAAGCCCCGUAGACGAAACGUCACACUCUCUGUUCAGGAUCCUGAGUACGGCGGGACACGUGAAACCCCGUCGGAACCCGCGAGGACCAUCUCGCAAGGCUAAAUACUCCCUAGUGACCGAUAGUGAACCAGUACCGUGAGGGAAAGGUGAAAAGCACCCCGGAAGGGGAGUGAAAUAGUUCCUGAAACCAUGUGCCUACAAGCUGUCGGAGCCCGUUAAUGGGUGACGGCGUGCCUCUUGCAGAAUGAACCGGCGAGUUACGAUUACAUGCAAGGUUAAGGUGGAAAAACCGGAGCCGUAGCGAAAGCGAGUCUUAAAUGGGCGUAAAAAGUAUGUAGUUGUAGACCCGAAACCAGGUGACCUACCCAUGUCCAGGUUGAAGGUGCGGUAAAGCGCACUGGAGGACCGAACCCGUGUCAGUUGAAAAUGGCUGGGAUGAGGUGUGGGUAGCGGUGAAAUUCCAAACGAACUUGGAGAUAGCUGGUUCUCUCCGAAAUCUCUUUAGGGGGAGCCUUGAGGUAAAGAAUCGUGGAGGUAGAGCUACU